AGCCGCCCUCCCCGCUAUGCUUUUGUCAGCUACAUCCAGCUCCCGGUGAUUGCGUCCAUAUGGCCUUGCCAGUCCUCGACCUCGUCAUCGCGCUGCGGCUGUCGUCCUGCUCUGAUACCGCGUGGUCACUGCAGCUGUCUCCUACCGCGGCUUGUAGGAUUCUUGAUUGUCCCACAGCAGAAGAACGGCGACACAUUCAGGCAUGUACCCAGGUUCCUCCAGAGAUGCAUUGCUUGAGGAGGCUUAAUUUGCAACAAAAAGUAUGCCGAAGCUACCCGACUCUGUCCAAGUCAAGUUCGACAUCCCCUGCCAACCUGGCUCUUCAGCGAGACAGAUGGCUGACCAUCCAUCUCUUGUACCACUAGGGCCUUAACAACAGCCAAUGUUCUUCAGUUUCAUCAUCAUUCAGAAAAUUCAGAGCAAUAAUCAAUCUGCUUCUCUCACGUAGCUGUCUUGCUUGAUGGUCGGACUAGUUGCAGUUUUGCACACAUAUGCAUUGCUUGUGUUAGAUCGAACCCAACCGAUAUGCCGUAUUUUGAUUUUUGCUA